rnacentral:rRNA from 1 species
UCUGGUAUUGAUUGGUGCUUGCAUCAUGAUUUACAUUUGAGUGAGUGGCGAACUGGUGAGUAACACGUGGGAAACCUGCCCAGAAGCGGGGGAUAACACCUGGAAACAGAUGCUAAUACCGCAUAACAACUUGGACCGCAUGGUCCGAGUUUGAAAGAUGGCUUCGGCUAUCACUUUUGGAUGGUCCCGCGGCGUAUUAGCUAGAUGGUGAGGUAACGGCUCACCAUGGCAAUGAUACGUAGCCGACCUGAGAGGGUAAUCGGCCACAUUGGGACUGAGACACGGCCCAAACUCCUACGGGAGGCAGCAGUAGGGAAUCUUCCACAAUGGACGAAAGUCUGAUGGAGCAACGCCGCGUGAGUGAAGAAGGGUUUCGGCUCGUAAAACUCUGUUGUUAAAGAAGAACAUAUCUGAGAGUAACUGUUCAGGUAUUGACGGUAUUUAACCAGAAAGCCACGGCUAACUACGUGCCAGCAGCCGCGGUAAUACGUAGGUGGCAAGCGUUGUCCGGAUUUAUUGGGCGUAAAGCGAGCGCAGGCGGUUUUUUAAGUCUGAUGUGAAAGCCUUCGGCUCAACCGAAGAAGUGCAUCGGAAACUGGGAAACUUGAGUGCAGAAGAGGACAGUGGAACUCCAUGUGUAGCGGUGAAAUGCGUAGAUAUAUGGAAGAACACCAGUGGCGAAGGCGGCUGUCUGGUCUGUAACUGACGCUGAGGCUCGAAAGUAUGGGUAGCAAACAGGAUUAGAUACCCUGGUAGUCCAUACCGUAAACGAUGAAUGCUAAGUGGUUGG